CCCUUAGAUGUUCUGGGCCGCACGCGCGCUACACUGAUGAAUUCAACGAGCACUAACCUGUGCAGAAAUGUUCGGGUAAUCUUGUGAAAUUUCAUCGUGAUGGGGAUUGAUUAUUGCAAUUAUUAAUCAUAAACGAGGAAUGCCUAGUAAGCGUGAGUCAUCGGCUCACGUUGAUUACGUCCCUGCCCUUUGUACACACCGCCCGUCGCUCCUACCGAUUGAAUGUGCUGGUGAAAAGUUCGGAUUGGGAAUAGGAGACGGCAACGUAUCCUGUUUCUGAGAAAAUCUUUAAACCCUCCCAUUUAGAGGAAGGAGAAGUCGUAACA
rnacentral:rRNA from 1 species